rnacentral:rRNA from 1 species
UACGGAGGGGGCAAGCGUUGUUCGGAGUGACUGGGCGUAAAGCGCGCGUAGGCGGUGGCGUAAGUCUAUUGUUAAAGGCAUCGGCUUAACCGGUGUACGGCAGUAGAAACUACGUCGCUAGAGUACCGGAGAGGAAUGCGGAACAUCUGGUGUAGCGGUGGAAUGCGUAGAUAUCAGAUAGAACACCUGUUGCGAAGGCGGCAUUCUGGUCGGUAACUGACGCUGAGGUG